rnacentral:rRNA from 1 species
UACGUAGGGGGCGAGCGUUGUCCGGAAUCAUUGGGCGUAAAGCGCGUGUAGGCGGUCCGGUAAGUCCGCUGUGAAAGUCGGGGGCUCAACCCUCGGAUGCCGGUGGAUACUGUCGGGCUUGAGUACGGAAGAGGCGAGUGGAAUUCCUGGUGUAGCGGUGAAAUGCGCAGAUAUCAGGAGGAACACCGAUUGCGAAGGCAGCUCGCUGGGACGUUACUGACGCUGAGACGUGAAAGCGUGGGGAGCAAACAGG